AACCUGCCCCUAACUCUGGGAUAACCCCGGGAAACCGGAGCUAAUACCGGAUAUGAGACCGAGUGGCAUCACACGGUCUGGAAAGUUUUUCGGUUAGGGAUGGGGUCGCGGCCUAUCAGCUUGUUGGUGGGGUAAUGGCCUACCAAGGCGACGACGGGUAGCCGGCCUGAGAGGGCGACCGGCCACACUGGGACUGAGACACGGCCCAGACUCCUACGGGAGGCAGCAGUGGGGAAUAUUGCGCAAUGGGCGAAAGCCUGACGCAGCGACGCCGCGUGAGG
rnacentral:rRNA from 1 species